UGCUAGCCCUCGGUCAUUGUCACAUGCAUACUUGUGAACACACUCACAUUAGAGGCGAUGAGGAUACGCUAAGCACCAGUGCAUGUAAAUUUUGCAUGUUUGGAGGUGAUUGAUGCUUUACUGACCGCAUCUCUUGACCAUGUUGAUCUCUCAGUUAUGUAAAUGGCCUAACAGCUUGGAUGGCCAGUUACCUAGCUGGUAACCGCUGCAACCUUUACGUACCUGAGAGCCAAUGCAUUGGUUGAGCUAUGGUGAUUGGUUGGAAUCAGGUGACUUGCAGAAGGCGAAUCUGAGCCUUGUUUUAUUUUUGUUGCAAGUAUGUGACUUAUAUUUUUCCGAAAGAAGCACUAGUUUUCUUGUUUAUUUCAAAAUAUGUUGGCAAGCUUUAAUAGUGGACAUUGUUUGACGCAUGAAAUUACAUAUCAAUUUUGAUUCCGUCCGCUCAUUACAUUUUCAUACAUCUUUGAAAACAUGAAAUUACAUAAUAUCCUCAUAAAAUUUCAUGUCUCUAAAAAAUCAUGCACAUUGUGUUGGAGAAGAGUGUUAUGAUCAGCUGUGAUGAUUUAAUAUCAAAGAGGGUUAGAUUUAAAUCGCGGGGCAGCUAAGGUGAGGGGUGACUCUCCAUGCCAUUUUUGCAGCCAUCGCUAAUACUUGUUUCAGUAGUAUGUUUGAUUCAAGGUCAGACAUGAGCUUUAUGCUUGAAGUUGUUGUUGUUGUUGUUGUUAUUGUUGUUUCUGUGGCUGCCGCGGCCCGCCAGUCUACUUUGCUAUCUGUGAUCUCUAUGGCAGAAGUUAGUGAGUGUCUUUACUGUUCAAGUUACAGAAGGGAACAGUUUCCUUCUCUUAUCCUUUAUAUGUCCAGAUUCUGGCCAGUGGUCUUCUUGCACAUGGAUUAUAUUCAUGCAUGUGUGUGCACAUGCGGGUGUGAUGGUUUUUUUUAUGCAUUUUGGUGCUUUGCCACUUUAAAGUUGUUAUGUGGUUUCUUUUUCAGGUCAAAGGGAUCUGUGGCUUAGAUGAAAGCUGUUGUUUUGGUAAAUGAGACAACAUCGAGCCUUGUUCACAAUAUGUGAAAUUUGAUUGCAGUUGGAGGUGGGAUCAAUCAAAGUGAUCAUAUUUGUAAACAGUAAAAUGAAGACUUGCCCAAAUUUGUGAUGACAGCAGCUAUAGCUGACCAGGAGCUUACUUAGUACAGGUUUUGGCUGUGGUUUCAACACAUGAGAGAACAUUCAGUUAAGCCUGAAGAAAUUCUCAAGCUUGUUAACACUCUUGUACAUCAAUUGUUUUCUCUUGUUUAUUUGAUUUGUUGCACAUACUUGCUGAUAAAAUAUCCAUUGAGUCAAUAAUUUAAUAAAAAUGCUGGCCAUAUCCACUAUUUACUAUA